AGCGACGCCGCGUGGUGACGAAGGCCUUCGGGUUGUAAAGCCCUGUGGGGUAGAACGAACUGGCAUCGGGCUAAUAUCCCGGUGUCUUGACGGUACUGCCUUAGCAAGCAUCGGCUAACUCUGUGCCAGCAGCCGCGGUAAGACAGAGGAUGCGAACGUUGCUCGGAUUUACUGGGCGUAAAGCGCGUGUAGGCGGUCUCGUUAGUCGGGUGUGAAAGCCCCGGGCUCAACCCGGGAAGUGCACCCGAUACUGCGAGACUGGGGUACUGAAGAGGAGAGCGGAAUUCCCGGUGUAGAGGUGAAAAUUCGUAGAUAUCGGGAGGAACACCAGUGGCGAAGGCGGCUCUCUGGGCAGAUACCGACGCUGAGACGCGAAAGCGUGGGGAGCAAACAGGAUUAGAUACCCUGGUAGUCCACGCUGUAAACGAUGACGACUGGGUGUUGCAGGUAUUGACCCCUGCGGUGCCGAAGCCAACGCGUUAAGUCGUCCGCCUGGGAAGUACGGCCGCAAGGCUAAAACUCAAAGGAAUUGACGGGGG
rnacentral:rRNA from 1 species